rnacentral:rRNA from 1 species
UACGUAGGGGGCAAGCGUUGUCCGGAAUCAUUGGGCGUAAAGCGCGCGUAGGCGGCCCGGUAAGUCCGCUGUGAAAGUCCAGGGCUCAACCCUGGGAUGCCGGUGGAUACUGUCGGGCUCGAGUCCGGAAGAGGCGAGUGGAAUUCCUGGUGUAGCGGUGAAAUGCGCAGAUAUCAGGAGGAACACCUAUAGCGAAGGCAGCUUGCUGGGACGUUACUGACGCUAAGGCGCGAAAGCGUGGGGAGCGAACAGG